CCUACGGGUGGCAGCAGUGAGGAAUAUUGGUCAAUGGGCGUAAGCCUGAACCAGCCAAGUCGCGUGAGGGAUGAAGGUUCUAUGGAUCGUAAACCUCUUUUAUAAGGGAAUAAAGUGUGGGACGUGUCCUGUUUUGUAUGUCCCUUAUGAAUAAGGAUCGGCUAACUCCGUGCCAGCAGCCGCGGUAAUACGGAGGAUCCGAGCGUUAUCCGGCUUUAUUGGGUUUAAAGGGUGCGUAGGCGGCCGUUUAAGUCAGCGGUGAAAGUCUGUGGCUCAACCAUAGAAUUGCCGUUGAAACUGGGAGGCUUGAGUAUGUUUGAGGCAGGCGGAAUGCGUGGUGUAGCGGUGAAAUGCUUAGAUAUCACGCAGAACCCCGAUUGCGAAGGCAGCCUGCCAAGCCAUGAUUGACGCUGAUGCACGAAAGCGUGGGGAUCAAACAGGAUUAGAUACCCGGGUAGUC
rnacentral:rRNA from 1 species